UCCAAUUUCACUAUAGCCAAUUCUACCCAAUUCUCUUAACAUGUUAAUCCUAAUUAAUCUCCAUGUUGACAGUCAAUUUCUUCUACUUUAUUCGAUACUCCAUCCCUGGUUAUACCAAAAGUAUCCUGUUUACCAACUCACUCUAUCCCUAGUAGUGAAAUUAAGAUAAUAAGAACCCAUUAAGUUCCUAGGAAAACAUGCAAAACAACCACAUAUGU
rnacentral:lncRNA from 1 species